rnacentral:lncRNA from 1 species
GUUCUUAAUAUUCACCAAAAUCUGAAAUACCCAAUGCGAACAUCGUUGGUAAGCUACUAGUCUAUAAAUUUUGUGUAUCUUGUCCAAAUCUUUGUCAUCCAGAGGCCAGUUUAAUAUCUUCAAGAUAGCGACAAACGUCUAUUUAAUGGCCCUUCUGACAGCAUGUUCGCUUUGAAUUCUGCAUGUGUUGACAGUGUUGUAAAGGCAGUCAAGCACUUCUCCCCUUGUGUUUCAGCCUCCUUCAAUCAUACAUCUUAUUCAUCGUAUUCUAACGCUUUAUCGUGGCAACAAAACAAUUCAAUAUCCUUUGG